rnacentral:lncRNA from 1 species
GAAAAUAUUUUCAUCUUCUCUGUCUCCAUAGACAGAGCACAUCAAAUCAAUAGCUGAGUCUUUCCAAAAUUCUACCAGUGGAAAAUGUAAACUAUUCUUAAUGGAGGGAGCUGAAACCAAAAAUAAGCAAGAUGAAGAAGAAUCAGAACUUCACAUUUUUACAUAAUAAUCCUUCAGACAGCAUGACGUAUAACUGAAUGACAAAUAAAGGGAGUUUCACAGCAACAGAAACUAAAAGCCAUCAGAAUCAUUGGAAAGGCUUUUAUGAUAUUCAGAAGACUGGAUCAGAUAACAAGCCAUCAACAGAGCUAAGGAUUACACACAUCAGACAGGAGAAAAAGAUCAUCCAUAAGACUCCCUAUAUCAGAGACUAUAUUCUGCCUUUCAUUAAGUGCUUGCUAUAUAAAUCAAUAUAUUAUGACAAUGGCAGUAUCAUUGUAACUCUGUGAUUUGUUGCUCAGUGGUGGCUGUAUCUUCCUGAACGGGCAUUUCUGAUUUGAGAAAUAAAUAUAUUACUGCAGCAGUGAAAGGAAACA